rnacentral:rRNA from 1 species
UACAGAGGGGGCAAGCGUUGUUCGGAAUUACUGGGCGUAAAGGGCGCGUAGGCGGCCUGUUAAGUCGAACGUGAAAUCCCCGGGCUCAACCCGGGAACUGCGUCCGAUACUGGCUGGCUUGAAUCCGGGAGAGGGAUGCGGAAUUCCAGGUGUAGCGGUGAAAUGCGUAGAUAUCUGGAGGAACACCGGUGGCGAAGGCGGGUCUCUGGGCCGAUACUGACGCUGAGGAGCGAAAGCGUGGGGAGCGAACAGG